rnacentral:rRNA from 1 species
AUUGAACGCUGGCGGCACGCCUAACACAUGCAAGUCGGGCGGAUGAAGGGAGCUUGCUCCUGGAUUCAGCGGCGGACGGGUGAGUAAUGCCUAGGAAUCUGCCUGGUAGUGGGGGAUAACGUCCGGAAACGGGCGCUAAUACCGCAUACGUCCUGAGGGAGAAAGUGGGGGAUCUUCGGACCUCACGCUAUCAGAUGAGCCUAGGUCGGAUUAGCUAGUUGGUGGGGUAAAGGCCUACCAAGGCGACGAUCCGUAACUGGUCUGAGAGGAUGAUCAGUCACACUGGAACUGAGACACGGUCCAGACUCCUACGGGAGGCAGCAGUGGGGAAUAUUGGACAAUGGGCGAAAGCCUGAUCCAGCCAUGCCGCGUGUGUGAAGAAGGUCUUCGGAUUGUAAAGCACUUUAAGUUGGGAGGAAGGGCAGUAAGUUAAUACCUUGCUGUUUUGACGUUACCAACAGAAUAAGCACCGGCUAACUUCGUG